rnacentral:lncRNA from 1 species
GCCUGAAGUACUGGGCUUCCUCAGAAGGUGGAACUUGAGCUUGGCCCCUAAGUGAGAUCCAGUGCGACAGUGGAGCAUGUGUGCGCAGAGGAGACAGGAACAACAACCGGGAUGUCAUGCGGGCGCACUGGGGCUCCUUGUGGCCCCAGUGCACAGAAUUCUGGUGGACCCACCAUGUGUGGGAGCUCAGUGAGACUCAAAGUAAGUGCAAGGCCCUCCUCACACAUCGUACGCUGAAGGUGGAGCACACUGGGAAAAUGUGCAUGCAUCAAGAAGAAAAAUGAAAACUGAUUUUGUGCAACAUUUCCACUGUUCUUGGAAGAAUGAAAUAAAUGCAUAUGAGCUAUGAAAUAUGGAUUGUAUAAUUCUAGUGAUUCUGCAUAUAAGUCAGAUGAUCUUAUUGAAAAUUGGCAUUGUACAAUAUAAAGAUGAACAGAAGAGUUCAUACUAAUAAUUUAAAAUUUUAAUUCUUCCUUUUUAGAAGAACAUGGGCAGAUUAAAAAUACCACCACACAUCAGGAAAGAAACCAGAAAAGAAAGAAAACAGCUUUCUAUUUUAAUGCUUUUAACAGUACUUAUGUCUGCUUUUUGAAAAGGAGCCCCACAGAUUAAGUACCCAGUCCUGGGCACGGGAAUACCCUGGGAUUGCUUUACAACCUCAAUUAGCUCUCCUCUCCUCCAACUGGUACCCUGAGAAAGACUUGGGUCCAUGCCACCAUCAUCUCUGGCCUGGACUCCUAAUUGGCCUCCCCGCUUCCCUCCUGAUGCUUCCCAGUCCAUUUGUCACUCAGCUGCCCAGAACAACCUAUUCAAAAGGCAGACCUGAUCUUGUUGAUGGUCCCUUCCAUACCCUCCCUGAUUAUAACUCUUCCCACCCCACUCAAAAUAAAUCCAACCAAGGUCUACAAAAUCUACCUCGUCUGCACACCCCACUGGCCUUGCCCUCACUCCAUACCCAGCCCCACUGGCCAACUUGCAGAUAAUCAAAGGUGCCGCAAUCCAUCCGGCCACAAAGCCUAGCACUUGUCCUGUGCCCUCUUUCUGAAACACUCCCCUGUCUCCCCACCUAGUUACUGCCCCUUAGCCCAUUAGAUUCUCCAUGAAGGGUCACUUCCUCAGGGAAGCAGUCUCCUCGCAUUCCCUAUCCACCCCAGGGGUACACUCUCAUAGCUCCCCAGAAUUCCC